rnacentral:snoRNA from 1 species
UGCAAUGACGAGUUUGCUCAGACUAGAGUCUCUGAUGCCUUCAAUGUGAUGCUUCUCUAAGCACCGAGCA